ensembl:lncRNA
CAAGAAAUGGCUCGAUGGUGUGAGACUGGAGCUGGACCAGCCAGAGAAACAGGAGACAACAUCAUUGUCCACAGCAUCCAAGCAUCUGGGGUGACUGGCAGCCCACCUCUGCAGCAGGGAAGGCAACACCAGGAAGGGAUUCUCUUAUUACUGGAAAACGUGUUCAAUACCCAGGGAUCACUCAGCACAAGGUCAAGAGCUGACUGUCAGCAAGAAAGAAAAGCAGAGCAAAGAAAUGAAGACCAUGUGAAAGGAAAACAUUGCUUUCAAGGCUCUGCCUACAAGGUCCACAUGAAAGAAGAUCCUGCCUAAAUGAAGCCAACAGAGAGAAAGAAUCCUGGAGAAAGUAAGAACCCUAGGCUUCAUGGCAUCCAUUGAGUGCCUGGAUCUGCCUGUUUCUGAAGCUGGAUCUGCAUUUCCCACCCGCCUAGAUUUUGCAAGCCAGCAAAUAUACUCUUCAUGUUUAAACCCACUUGAAUUGAUUUUCUAUUCUCUUACAACCAUGAGUCACACAAGGAGGAUGUUUUUC